CAUUAUUUUUUCGUCCAGUUUUAUAUUGUCAUUUUAUCAUGUGGAUAGCAUUAUACGAAUUGGGCCAGUCCAAGGUAUUUGGUAUUUGGUGCCGCAUACGUCACCAAGUAUUAUAGGUUUCUGAACAUAGAUUGUCGUUAGUUGUGUCUUUCCACUUCAUAUUUUGGUCCGAUAAAAGCUCGAUAUAGAAGGUCUAUCGACUAAAAUCAAUGAUCAGAUAUAUAUUAACAUAUAAGAAGUGAUAUCUGACGUACUGUAAAAAAUAAAUUUGACUUGAAUGACUGAUUGAUUGAUUGAAGGUUUUAUUAUCCUUUAAAGGCAGCCAGUGGCUGAAUUGUGAAAGAUUAACAAUUAAAUAUAUUUAGCCAAUGCAAAAUUACAUAGUUGCAAAAUAUUAAGGCUUGUUCAGAUAUGACGCGGUAAACCAAUGUAAAAAAAUAUUUUUAAAAAAAGCCACCGCGGUUUUUGCUAAAGAAUGAGCAACAACUGCGUUAACUAGGCGUUGUGGCGUGCGCCUGUAAUCCAGCUAACAAUGGAAGUUACAAAAUGAUUCAGCUGAGGACGCAGGUUAGAAAUCGAGUCACGUCUUUCUGAUUGUUACACGUCUGUAAAAAAAAA